GAGAUGCAGCAGGGACAAUAACAACAGAUCAUGCAACAACUAUUUCAGGAGCGGUAGUCUCAGUAGCAACAGGAGCUGGAAACCAACAAGAGUAUCAAAGCAAUUUGAGAGAUUUUAAGAAAUAUGCACCACUAGUAUUCACAGGAACCUCAGAUCCUAUGGAAGUUGAAUGUUGAUCGAAAGCAAUAGAAAAUAUUUUCCAUGCUUUGAGAUGUCCUGC
rnacentral:lncRNA from 1 species